rnacentral:rRNA from 1 species
CAAUAGCGUAUAUUAAAGUUGUUGCGGUUAAAAGCUCGUAGUUGGAUUUCUGCCGAGGACGACCGGUCCGCCCUCUGGGUGAGUAUCUGGCUUGGCCUGGGCAUUCUUCUUGGAGAACGUAGCUGCACUUGACUGUGUGGUGCGGUAUCCAGGACUUUUACUUUGAGGAAAUUAGAGUGUUUCAAGCAGGCAUACGCCUUGAAUACAUUAGCAUGGAAUAAUAAGAUAGACCUCGUUCUAUUUGUUGGUUUCUAGAGCUGAGGUAAUGAUUAAUAGGGAGUAGUUGGGGGUCGAUUCGUUAUUAACGCGUCAGAGGUGGAAUUCUUGGAUUGCGUUACGACGAACUACUGCGAAAGCAUUUGCCAAGGAUGUUUUCUAUUGAUCAAGAACGAAAGUAUGGGGAUCGAAGACGAUUAGAUACCGU